UACGAAGGGGGCUAGCGUUGCUCGGAAUUACUGGGCGUAAAGCGCACGUAGGCGGCUUUCUAAGUCGGGGGUGAAAUCCUGGAGCUCAACUCCAGAACUGCCUUCGAUACUGGAGAGCUUGAGUCCGGGAGAGGUGAGUGGAACUGGCGAAGUGUAGAGGUGAAAUUUCGUAGAUAUUCGCAAGAACACCAGUGGCGAAGGCGGCUCACUGGCCCGGUACUGACGCUGAGGUGCGAAAGCGUGGGGAGCAACAGGG
rnacentral:rRNA from 1 species